rnacentral:rRNA from 1 species
AUUGAACGCUGGCGGCAGGCUUAACACAUGCAAGUCGAGCGGGGUGAUGGUGCUUGCACUAUCACUUAGCGGCGGACGGGUGAGUAAUGCUUAGGAAUCUGCCUAUUAGUGGGGGACAACAUCUCGAAAGGGAUGCUAAUACCGCAUACGUCCUACGGGAGAAAGCAGGGGAUCACUUGUGACCUUGCGCUAAUAGAUGAGCCUAAGUCGGAUUAGCUAGUUGGUGGGGUAAAGGCCUACCAAGGCGACGAUCUGUAGCGGGUCUGAGAGGAUGAUCCGCCACACUGGGACUGGGACACGGCCCAGAUUCCUACGGGAGGCAGCAGUGUGGAAUAUUGGACAAUGGGGGGAACCCUGAUCCAGCCAUGCCGCGUGUGUGAAGAAGGCCUUAUGGUUGUAAAGCACUUUAAGCGAGGAGGAGGCUCUUUUGGUUAAUACCCAAGAUGAGUGGACGUUACUCGCAGAAUAAGCACCGGCUAACUCUGUGCCAGCCGCCGCCGUAA